GAUGAACGCUGGCGGCGUGCCUAAUACAUGCAAGUCGAGCGAACGGACGAGAAGCUUGCUUCUCUGAUGUUAGCGGCGGACGGGUGAGUAACACGUGGAUAACCUACCUAUAAGACUGGGAUAACUUCGGGAAACCGGAGCUAAUACCGGAUAAUAUUUUGAACCGCAUGGUUCAAAAGUGAAAGACGGUCUUGCUGUCACUUAUAGAUGGAUCUGCGCUGCAUUAGCUAGUUGGUAAGGUAACGGCUUACCAAGGCAACGAUGCAUAGCCGACCUGAGAGGGGGAUCGGCCACACUGGAACUGAGACACGGUCCAGACUCCUACGGGAGGCAGCAGUAGGGAAUCUUCCGCAAUGGGCGAAAGCCUGACGGAGCAACGCCGCGUGAGUGAUGAAGGUCUUCGGAUCGUAAAACUCUGUUAUUAGGGAAGAACAUAUGUGUAAGUAACUGUGCACAUCUUGACGGUACCUAAUCAGAAAGCCACGGCUAACUACGUG
rnacentral:rRNA from 1 species